AGGGGUGCCAUUCACCUUGUAAACAUUUUUGCUUUGUCCACUUAUUAUGAUAAUGUUCCAGCAGGUAGCAGUAAAGGGCGGGAGGAACAGCACAUUAUAUCACUUUCCCACUAGAUGGAUGUCAAGCACCUAGAGGAAAGGAAGACACGUCUCCAUGCAAAGACUACAGGCUAACAUGUAGAUUGCUGCAAUGAUGCUUCCCUACACACGUGAGUAUUC
rnacentral:lncRNA from 1 species